rnacentral:rRNA from 1 species
CUCCCUAAUGAGGGUAGAGUAUGAGGGGUGAGACCUGCCCAAUGGUUGUAUCUUAAAAGGUUGGUAAGGCGAAUUUAAUAAAGACAAUUUAAUGGCUGCGGUAACACUGACCGUGAAAAUGUAGCGAAAUAAAUAGUCAAUUAAUUGUUGACCGGUAUGAAUGGUGUCACGAGGGUCUCGCUGUCUUAAGGAAGUUUCCAGUGAAAUUGAACUUGUAGUGAAGAUGCUACAUCUAAAUUGUUAGACAAGAAGUCCCCAUGGAACUUUACUGGAGACUUAUGUGGCUGACUUAAAUAGUUUUAAAAUGUGGUGUGACUCAACUAGGGUUAGAAAAGCUCACUUUUUAUUUUAAGAAAGGCAACUUAAAAAUAUAUGUUUUUGGGAUUGGAUAAGUGAGACAGUUUGGUUGGGGCGACCGCCUUUAAAAAAGUAACGAAGGCGGACUUAAGAUGUAUGUUUAGUUAUGUCUGACUGCUAAGGGGAGACCCAGAGCAGACACUUGUCUUUGGAUGGUGGGUUUAAGUGACCCGUUAGCUCAGAGUGAAAGGGUUAACGAUAAACAAAUAAAAGUUACCCUGGGGAUAACAGCGCAAUAACGUUUAAGAGUUUAUAUCGACGACGAUGUUUGCGACCUCAUGUUUUAAGGUUAA